rnacentral:rRNA from 1 species
GACGAACGCUGGCGGCGUGCCUAAUACAUGCAAGUAGAACGAGUUGCGAACGGGUGAGUAACGCGUGGUAACCUUCCUCAUCGCGGGGGAUAACUGUUGGAAACGCUAGCUAAUACCGCAUACAAUCGGAUUUGCCCCGAUGGGAUUAGCUAGUAGGUGGGGUAUCGGCGCACCUAGGCGACGAUCCCUAGAUGGUCUGAGAGGAUGACCAGCAACACUGGAACUGAGACACGGUCCAGACUCCUACGGUAGGCAGCAGUGGGGAAUAUUGACCAAUGGGCGCAAGCCUGAUGCAGCCAUGCCGCGGGUAUGAAGAAGGCUUUCGGGUUGUAAAGUACUUUCAGCGAGGAGGCGUUACUCGCAGAAGAAGCACCGGCUAACUCCGUGCCAGCAGCCGCGGUAAUUC